UUCUUUUCAGGUUACACCAACAUUGGGUUUACUUCUAAUAUACUGGUGUAUUACGUCCAUCUUGCAUCAUAAUCCAUUUUGUUAGGUUACAACAGUGGGUUUAUUUCUAAGAUACUACUGUAUCAGGUCCAUAUUUACACCAUGGAAAGCUCAGGAUACAUUAAGUCUAAAACAUACAAGUAUAUCAAGGACAUAUCUACAUCAAUACUAUUUCAUCAGAGUUAUAUCAAGACAGGAUUCAUUUUGUAAAAUACUACUCUAUUAGG